UCGCAGACGAUCCGUGCCAAGGAUAAACUUUGAUUUGAUGGACAAGAAAAAUGACCUUACAUGUAGCUUGUUUGAUUUUUCGGCGAGGGGAUUUUUUGUUAUUGAUUUUUACAUAUAAUAAGUUUGUACAUUAUUUUUGUUAUUAUACUUUGUAAUCAUACACGUGUAUUGAUGACAGUUUGAAUUCAUUUUUGCGCAUUUUAAAUUUUUAGACAGUCACAUAAUAUUUUUAGGAACUGACAGAUAUUUGUCAUAGAAUAACAAGCUUAAUCCAUGACCUCAGGCUGACCAUAUAAUUAAUGGUGUCACUUCAGACUUAAACUGUUUAUUUUUCAAAAUUCACAACUUUACAUGAAGGUUAUACAUGUUCAUUAAAAACAAUUUUUUGGAAAAAAUACUCUUGACAUUUUUUAACUCAUCAUAAAUAUUUGAGAAGCAGAAAACACCAAAUCAUUCUGCAAGGCAUUGUGCUUUGUUUACGUUGAAGUUACACAUGUGCUUGAAAGUCAAGCCCGGGGCCUUUUCACCAUCUUACGGAAACAACACGCAUCAACAUUCAAGCAGACUUCUCAUUAUUACAAAACCUGUAUAUUCAAACAUAUAUAUUACACAUUGUUUUUAUCUCAUGAAAACACCAGCCUCUGCCGCGGGCAGAAACGUCCGAUAUUCAGAGGAGAAUUUGGGAUUAUUUGCCUCAGUCAUGUAAUGCCGUGAACCUAAAGGGAAUUAAAACACUGCAUAUGAAGCAUUAUUUUUUUUUAUUAAGUUCAAGUCCAUGACAGCGUUGACAGGUGCUUGUUCUCUUCAUGACUCCUAAUAUAAAUGACUUACUUUUAUACCUCUGUUUAAUUUUUUUUACUGGAUAGCAAUCUUUGUGUGCCAUAUGCCUAUAUACAUGUAUUUCUGAAAUGCGCUUUUGCUUGUUAUAAGAAAAAAAAACCAAUUUAAUUAAGUGUCUAAGGUGCUGAACUAAUAAAUUAACAGUGUUUGGUUUUAU
rnacentral:misc_RNA from 1 species